rnacentral:rRNA from 1 species
UACGAAGGGUGCAAGCGUUACUCGGAAUACUGGGCGUAAAGCGUGCGCAGGCGGUGAUGUAAGACAGUUGUGAAAUCCCCGGGCUCAACCUGGGAACUGCAUCUGUGACUGCAUCGCUGGAGUGCGGCAGAGGGGGAUGGAAUUCCGCGUGUAGCAGUGAAAUGCGUAGAUAUGCGGAGGAACACCGAUGGCGAAGGCAAUCCCCUGGGCCUGCACUGACGCUCAUGCACGAAAGCGUGGGGAGCAAACAGG